AUGCAACCAGGGCUGGGCGGACAGGAAUGCUUUGGUGGCUAGUUACCGAGCAAGAACCCCGCAGACAACAUUACAAACACCUGGCAUGUGUGAAGAGCGCUCUUUGCUCGUUCAUAUGUUGUUGUUUUAAUUAUUAUUAUUGAAAUCUCAUUUGACUCCCCUCAGUAACCCUGGGUUGUGACAGGGGACAGUGCCCCGGCGAUUAUUCCCAGUUUACAGGUGCAGAAACUAGAGCUUCAGAGCUUAAUUAACUUGCCAUGGGCCACACAGUUCUCCUGACUUGCAACAAAAAGAUCUUUCGUCAGCUCCAGGCUGGCUCCUUACUUUGCAAGGUGUUAUCAGGAAGGAUAGGCACCAGAGCACGGUGGAGAUGCCCCGCUGGAGGGGUAGCAGAUGCUCCUACACAGCGACGAAGAGGCAGGAGUGGAGAGGAAUUUUCUUUGGGUUAAAGGACCUAGGCCUGUGGAAUGAGGUACCUCUCCAAUUCUUCUUCCCCCAAGCAGUCCUGCUGCAAGUUCCUGCAGCCUAAACUCUGGACGGGUGAGGAACAGUCACCUCUAGUCCCAGGAGGGAGAAACAACCUUCACUUCCCCCCCACCCCGCCCCCGCGCCCUCACACUCUCCCUGCGGAGCUUCUGACAAAGAGACUAGAGGCCUGGAGAUGAGAAAACCAAAACUUAAAGAAUCAAAGUUUGCCCAGUUUGUGUAGCAGAAUGGAAACUACGUUCAGUCUACUUGUACUCUACCACACAGCCAUGUAGCAAAUAUGAUAUAAGAACACCCAGACUGGCAGCUGCAUGGACAAAAACCAGAUGACCUGAGGAGAAAUUCCUACAAGUAGUAUUGCUGAGCCAAAAGAUAAACAUCUUUUCACUAAGAACUGUUUCCACAGUCUGUUGAACUCCUUGAGGGCAGAAUUGGUAUCUUUCUCAUUCUUGCGCCUGGUACCUGGCAUAUAGGAGGCAAAUUCUUAACCAUUGGACCACUCAGGAAAUCCUGAAAAGCAGAGGUUUUGAAGAGCAACUCAGGAUGUACACCUGGCUGUUGUCAUCAGAUAGGAGCUGAUCCAAGGACCACCUCAGGGCUCUGUCUGAAGGAUUGAAUCCAGGCCCUUGGCUGUGAGAGUGUGGAGUCCUAACCACCGGACUACCAGGGAAUCCUCUGAAGACUCUCUUGCUCUUUUUUGUUUUUUGGCCACACCACAUGGCAUGUGGGAUCUUAGUUCUCCAACCAAGGAUCA